GCAUUUGAGGGGCAUAUAGGAUUUAUGGUGGUCAGUCAUGGCAGAGUAUAGCACUCAAGCAGGGGGUGAGAUGAGAUCAGAAAGAAAUUGUGCUUAAUGUACCUUCAGGUAGGAGCCAAAACCAGUCCUUUUCCAUAGGCACACCAGCUGGGAUGCAAAAAUGAUACUGCUGGAAAUAUAAUGAAAGCCAAUGUCAUUUGGGUACCCUCUGCCAUUUCAUACACAAGUGCUCAUAUUGCAAUUAUCCCCCCCUUUUCAAAAUCUUUUAAGCAACAAAUAAA